UGCUCAAUGCAGGAUUCAUCCCUCCCAUAGCUGCAUGCUUGGUGGAAGAAGACAACCAUCCCAGAUAGAGGAGUUUACCAUUCUGCAGGCCAGGGUAUAGGACAGCAGCACUCUUCUGCUAGAACCUCCAAACAAGCUCAAGGCAAGGCACUGUUGCUCCAAACAGAUGUGGGAAGCAGCACUAGGCAAGAACAUAAGAACAUAAGAGGAGCCUUGCUGGAUCAGGCCACGGCCCAUCUAGUCCA
rnacentral:sRNA from 1 species